rnacentral:miRNA from 1 species
AGGCCUGCUCUGAGCCCCCGC